rnacentral:rRNA from 1 species
UACGUAGGGUCCGAGCGUUGUCCGGAAUCAUUGGGCGUAAAGAGCGUGUAGGUGGACUGGAAGGUCUGGUGUGAAAGCCCGGGGCUCAACCCCGGAGGGUCACUGGAAACCAACAGUCUUGAGUCUGGAAGAGGAGAGUGGAAUUCCUGGUGUAGCGGUGGAAUGCGCAGAUAUCAGGAGGAACACCAAUGGCGAAGGCAGCUCUCUGGUACAUGACUGACACUGAGACGCGAAAGCGUGGGGAGCGAACAGG